rnacentral:rRNA from 1 species
GCUCUGUGGGAUCAGUGGCGAACGGGUGAGUAACACGUGAGCAACCUGCCCCUGACUCUGGGAUAAGCGCUGGAAACGGCGUCUAAUACUGGAUAUGUGACGUGACCGCAUGGUCUGCGUUUGGAAAGAUUUUUCGGUUGGGGAUGGGCUCGCGGCCUAUCAGCUUGUUGGUGAGGUAAUGGCUCACCAAGGCGUCGACGGGUAGCCGGCCUGAGAGGGUGACCGGCCACACUGGGACUGAGACACGGCCCAGACUCCUACGGGAGGCAGCAGUGGGGAAUAUUGCACAAUGGGCGAAAGCCUGAUGCAGCAACGCCGCGUGAGGGAUGACGGCCUUCGGGUUGUAAACCUCUUUUAGCAGGGAAGAAGCGAAAGUGACGGUACCUGCAGAAAAAGCGCCGGCUAACUACGUGCCAGCAGCCGCGGUAAUACGUAGGGCGCAAGCGUUAUCCGGAAUUAUUGGGCGUAAAGAGCUCGUAGGCGGUUUGUCGCGUCUGCUGUGAAAUCCCGAGGCUCAACCUCGGGCCUGCAGUGGGUACGGGCAGACUAGAGUGCGGUAGGGGAGAUUGGAAUUCCUGGUGUAGCGGUGGAAUGCGCAGAUAUCAGGAGGAACACCGAUGGCGAAGGCAGAUCUCUGGGCCGUAACUGACGCUGAGGAGCGAAAGGGUGGGGAGCAAACAGGCUUAGAUACCCUGGUAGUCCACCCCGUAAACGUUGGGAACUAGUUGUGGGGUCCAUUCCACGGAUUCCGUGACGCAGCUAACGCAUUAAGUUCCCCGCCUGGGGAGUACGGCCGCAAGGCUAAAACUCAAAGGAAUUGACGGG